GCUUGAGUUAGCUAAAGUCCUCCUCUUGCACCGCGUGUAAAGCUAUAAAACUUUGGAAUAAUUUUCCCCCCUGUCUGUGGCUCAUUUUCUUUCCUUUCUAUUUCUCAGCUGAAGGUGUUUGCCCUCCUUGUGACGACACUCCAUGUAGGCCUGAACGUUCCCACCCUCUCAUCACGUGGACACCAGCACACGAGCUUUCACGGAAGGAACACCUGGAGGAAAUCCAUCAGUCACAGGAAAAACAUGCAAACUUCACAGAGCGAGCACCCGAGGCCAGGAUUGAACCUAGGUCCCUGAUACUGCAAGGCAGCGGAUUUAACAACUGUGCCACGGUGCUUGUCCUUACAGCGUGCCAUGAUAGGAGAAGGAGUCUGCUGCACACACCCCUUGUCCCUGAUCUGCCAUUCAGUACAUCUCUGACACAGGACUUCAAUCCAGGAGUUCUUGCUUAUCUGGUUCAUAGGAUGGAAAAUCUCAGCGUAAUCCUGACGAUACCUUGCCAUUCCCUGCUGGUGGGAUUUGUGUUGUGGAUUGGAGCGAGGAUUCAGUGAUCCCAGUUACUACCAGCAGCAGUAAGUGCCCGAAUGCCCCCUGCCUCUUGCCUUCACUGUGGUCGGGCAUCCAGAAGUUUAUUGUGCAAGUACAAAAGGUGAAAGAGUGGGUUUGAAGCAAGACUGGUUGAUUCUCCUGCAGACAUGAAGUGGCAAAUUGUUCUUCAGCCCAUGGAGACCACGGCAAAGUGUUUUUCCGUGACUCAGACCAAGAGAAAACCCAACGAGUUCCCCUUUUCUCAAACCAGAUUGUGAAAGUCACAAGGACAUAUGACAAUGAAACAUUCUCUUGAACCAUGAGGCCCGCAGCUGAAGAACCUACACUUCAAAAUGGAAGAAUCGAAAAGGAGAGACAGGACUGCAAAAUAUGAAUUUUUAAAUUUAUUUGGCUGACAAGACCAUAUUUUUCAUCUCCAGUUGUCUUUGGAAAGAAUUGACACAGUUCUUGGAAACAUUCAAAGUUACUCAGAUACUGAAUAGUUAUUUCUCAUGACAGGAAAGCCCAGUACAUCAGGUUCUAAUCUCAUCAUUUCAAACUAAGAUGAGGAAAUUUUGUCGGGAUUGUCGAACUUUGGAAUCCUCUUCUGCGGAUAGUAGAAUGCACUCAGAUGAAGAAUGCAUUCAAGGACGGGAUUUUAGGGAAUUGAGGCCACAAAGCUGGAGAGUCUAACGAACGUUCCCGACCUGAAAAGUCGCCUAACCACAUCCUCCAGAGAUGUUGCAUGACCCACUGAUUAACUGCAGCACUUAUACUCCACGCAAGAUUCCAGCAUCUGCAGUUCCUUGUGUUCACAUAAAGCUGGCCUUGCCAAAGGAAUUGAUGUUGGAAUUCCAUCAGGAUUCCUUCAAAUGUUGGCGCAGUCCCACUUAAAGAGGAAUGGAGAAUCAACUCCCGAAUGUGAGCUACGUCCCAUGUAGGGCAAGGAAGUGUCUUUCUCGGUCAGAAAUUACAAAGAACCUACUGAGAAUUAAAUCA